AUACAACAAAACAGCCGUCAUAGCUUUUUUCUUUUGUACUUGUAUUAUUAUUUUUUAUAAUGGUAGCAAGUCUAUGCUAUGAAGCACCCCUUGUGAAUACUUCAUUUCCAAUUAUUGAAAUUUAUGUCAUUGUUGAAUUAUUAUGAAGUGUUGCUAUCUGUGAUCUGUUUCAGAGCCUGUUCAUUUUCCUGCUAUGGCUUUGGUUGGUAGACUUGCAGUUUAUUACCUUGGGACAAUGAGAGGAAAAAAACUAAUUCAUGCUUUAUUCUGUGUGUUCAGCCUCUUGCAACAUGCAUGCACAAUCUACAACUUGGGAAAAUGGCAGUUGGACUGCAAAUUUCAGAACCCUGGCUUCGUGAAUAUCAGGUUCUUCCAUUGAGAACCCAUCCACAAAUGCAGAUGAGCUCAUUCGGUGGGUAUAUUCUAAGGGGUACUAGGAUAUGUAGCGAUGACCAGCCACAACUGAAGUAAUUGCUUCAAUUUUUUACCACAAAUUUUUUUUUUUAGGGAAGCAAUUGCCCACAUCUCAUAAUGUAUAAUUUCUUUGAUAAGAAGUGUACACUAGCUUUUCAAUUGCAAAUUUAAGAGUUUCAUUUGAACAAUAAA